GACGAACGCUGGCGGCGUGCCUAAUACAUGCAAGUAGAACGCUGAAGAGAGGAGCUUGCUCUUCUUGGAUGAGUUGCGAACGGGUGAGUAACGCGUAGGUAACCUGCCUUGUAGCGGGGGAUAACUAUUGGAAACGAUAGCUAAUACCGCAUAACAAUGGAUGACACAUGUCAUUUAUUUGAAAGGGGCAAUUGCUCCACUACAAGAUGGACCUGCGUUGUAUUAGCUAGUAGGUGAGGUAAUGGCUCACCUAGGCGACGAUACAUAGCCGACCUGAGAGGGUGAUCGGCCACACUGGGACUGAGACACGGCCCAGACUCCUACGGGAGGCAGCAGUAGGGAAUCUUCGGCAAUGGGGGCAACCCUGACCGAGCAACGCCGCGUGAGUGAAGAAGGUUUUCGGAUCGUAAAGCUCUGUUGUAAGUCAAGAACGGGUGUGAGAGUGGAAAGUUCACACUGUGACGGUAGCUUACCAGAAAGGGACGGCUAACUACGUGCCAGCAGCCGCGGUAAUACGUAGGUCCCGAGCGUUGUCCGGAUUUAUUGGGGCGUAAGCGAGCGCAGGCGGUUUGAUAAGUCUGAAAGUUAAGGCUGUGGCUCAACCAUAGUUCGCUUUGGAAACUGUCAAACUUGAGUGCAGAAGGGGAGAGUGGAAUUCCAUGUGUAGCGGUGAAAUGCGUAGAUAUAUGGAGGAACACCGGUGGCGAAAGCGGCUCUCUGGUCUGUAACUGACGCUGAGGCUCGAAAGCGUGGGGAGCGAACAGGAUUAGAUACCCUGGUAGUCCACGCCGUAAACGAUGAGUGCUAGGUGUUGGAUCCUUUCCGGGAUUCAGUGCCGCAGCUAACGCAUUAAGCACUCCGCCUGGGGAGUACGACCGCAAGGUUGAAACUCAAAGGAAUUGACGGGGGCCCGCACAAGCGGUGGAGCAUGUGGUUUAAUUCGAAGCAACGCGAAGAACCUUACCAGGUCUUGACAUCCCGAUGCUAUUUCUAGAGAUAGAAAGUUACUUCGGUACAUCGGUGACAGGUGGUGCAUGGUUGUCGUCAGCUCGUGUCGUGAGAUGUUGGGUUAAGUCCCGCAACGAGCGCAACCCCUAUUGUUAGUUGCCAUCAUUCAGUUGGGCACUCUAGCGAGACUGCCGGUAAUAAACCGGAGGAAGGUGGGGAUGACGUCAAAUCAUCAUGCCCCUUAUGACCUGGGCUACACGCGUGCUACAAUGGUUGGUACAACGAGUUGCGAGUCGGUGACGGCGAGCUAAUCUCUUAAAGCCAAUCUCAGUUCGGAUUGUAGGCUGCAACUCGCCUACAUGAAGUCGGAAUCGCUAGUAAUCGCGGAUCAGCACGCCGCGGUGAAUACGUUCCCGGGCCU
rnacentral:rRNA from 1 species